GGGUUGUGAGGUUAAGCGACUAAGCGUACACGGUGGAUGCCCUGGCAGUCAGAGGCGAUGAAGGACGUGCUAAUCUGCGAUAAGCGUCGGUAAGGUGAUAUGAACCGUUAUAACCGGCGAUUUCCGAAUGGGGAAACCCAGUGUGUUUCGACACACUAUCAUUAACUGAAUCCAUAGGUUAAUGAGGCGAACCGGGGGAACUGAAACAUCUAAGUACCCCGAGGAAAAGAAAUCAACCGAGAUUCCCCCAGUAGCGGCGAGCGAACGGGGAGGAGCCCAGAGCCUGAAUCAGUGUGUGUGUUAGUGGAAGCGUCUGGAAAGGCGCGCGAUACAGGGUGACAGCCCCGUACACAAAAAUGCACAUGCUGUGAGCUCGAUGAGUAGGGCGGGACACGUGGUAUCCUGUCUGAAUAUGGGGGGACCAUCCUCCAAGGCUAAAUACUCCUGACUGACCGAUAGUGAACCAGUACCGUGAGGGAAAGGCGAAAAGAACCCCGGCGAGGGGAGUGAAAAAGAACCUGAAACCGUGUACGUACAAGCAGUGGGAGCACGCUUAGGCGUGUGACUGCGUACCUUUUGUAUAAUGGGUCAGCGACUUAUAUUCUGUAGCAAGGUUAACCGAAUAGGGGAGCCGAAGGGAAACCGAGUCUUAACUGGGCGUUAAGUUGCAGGGUAUAGACCCGAAACCCGGUGAUCUAGCCAUGGGCAGGUUGAAGGUUGGGUAACACUAACUGGAGGACCGAACCGACUAAUGUUGAAAAAUUAGCGGAUGACUUGUGGCUGGGGGUGAAAGGCCAAUCAAACCGGGAGAUAGCUGGUUCUCCCCGAAAGCUAUUUAGGUAGCGCCUCGUGAAUUCAUCUCCGGGGGUAGAGCACUGUUUCGGCAAGGGGGUCAUCCCGACUUACCAACCCGAUGCAAACUGCGAAUACCGGAGAAUGUUAUCACGGGAGACACACGGCGGGUGCUAACGUCCGUCGUGAAGAGGGAAACAACCCAGACCGCCAGCUAAGGUCCCAAAGUCAUGGUUAAGUGGGAAACGAUGUGGGAAGGCCCAGACAGCCAGGAUGUUGGCUUAGAAGCAGCCAUCAUUUAAAGAAAGCGUAAUAGCUCACUGGUCGAGUCGGCCUGCGCGGAAGAUGUAACGGGGCUAAACCAUGCACCGAAGCUGCGGCAGCGACGCUGAUGCGUUGUUGGGUAGGGGAGCGUUCUGUAAGCCUGUGAAGGUGUGCUGUGAGGCAUGCUGGAGGUAUCAGAAGUGCGAAUGCUGACAUAAGUAACGAUAAAGCGGGUGAAAAGCCCGCUCGCCGGAAGACCAAGGGUUCCUGUCCAACGUUAAUCGGGGCAGGGUGAGUCGACCCCUAAGGCGAGGCCGAAAGGCGUAGUCGAUGGGAAACAGGUUAAUAUUCCUGUACUUGGUGUUACUGCGAAGGGGGGACGGAGAAGGCUAUGUUGGCCGGGCGACGGUUGUCCCGGUUUAAGCGUGUAGGCUGGUUUUCCAGGCAAAUCCGGAAAAUCAAGGCUGAGGCGUGAUGACGAGGCACUACGGUGCUGAAGCAACAAAUGCCCUGCUUCCAGGAAAAGCCUCUAAGCAUCAGGUAACAUCAAAUCGUACCCCAAACCGACACAGGUGGUCAGGUAGAGAAUACCAAGGCGCUUGAGAGAACUCGGGUGAAGGAACUAGGCAAAAUGGUGCCGUAACUUCGGGAGAAGGCACGCUGAUAUGUAGGUGAAGUCCCUCGCGGAUGGAGCUGAAAUCAGUCGAAGAUACCAGCUGGCUGCAACUGUUUAUUAAAAACACAGCACUGUGCAAACACGAAAGUGGACGUAUACGGUGUGACGCCUGCCCGGUGCCGGAAGGUUAAUUGAUGGGGUCAGCGCAAGCGAAGCUCUUGAUCGAAGCCCCGGUAAACGGCGGCCGUAACUAUAACGGUCCUAAGGUAGCGAAAUUCCUUGUCGGGUAAGUUCCGACCUGCACGAAUGGCGUAAUGAUGGCCAGGCUGUCUCCACCCGAGACUCAGUGAAAUUGAACUCGCUGUGAAGAUGCAGUGUACCCGCGGCAAGACGGAAAGACCCCGUGAACCUUUACUAUAGCUUGACACUGAACAUUGAGCCUUGAUGUGUAGGAUAGGUGGGAGGCUUAGAAGUGUGGACGCCAGUCUGCAUGGAGCCGACCUUGAAAUACCACCCUUUAAUGUUUGAUGUUCUAACGUUGACCCGUAAUCCGGGUUGCGGACAGUGUCUGGUGGGUAGUUUGACUGGGGCGGUCUCCUCCUAAAGAGUAACGGAGGAGCACGAAGGUUGGCUAAUCCUGGUCGGACAUCAGGAGGUUAGUGCAAUGGCAUAAGCCAGCUUGACUGCGAGCGUGACGGCGCGAGCAGGUGCGAAAGCAGGUCAUAGUGAUCCGGUGGUUCUGAAUGGAAGGGCCAUCGCUCAACGGAUAAAAGGUACUCCGGGGAUAACAGGCUGAUACCGCCCAAGAGUUCAUAUCGACGGCGGUGUUUGGCACCUCGAUGUCGGCUCAUCACAUCCUGGGGCUGAAGUAGGUCCCAAGGGUAUGGCUGUUCGCCAUUUAAAGUGGUACGCGAGCUGGGUUUAGAACGUCGUGAGACAGUUCGGUCCCUAUCUGCCGUGGGCGCUGGAGAACUGAGGGGGGCUGCUCCUAGUACGAGAGGACCGGAGUGGACGCAUCACUGGUGUUCGGGUUGUCAUGCCAAUGGCACUGCCCGGUAGCUAAAUGCGGAAGAGAUAAGUGCUGAAAGCAUCUAAGCACGAAACUUGCCCCGAGAUGAGUUCUCCCUGAC
rnacentral:rRNA from 1 species